UACGUAGGGUGCGAGCGUUGCCCGGAUUUAUUGGGCGUAAAGGGCGCGUAGGCGGCCACGCACGUCCGUUGUGAAAUCGCCCGGCUCAACUGGGCGGGGUCAGCGGAUACGGUGUGGCUCGAGCAAGCUAGGGGGCAAUGGAAUUCCCGGUGUAGUGGUGGAAUGCGCAGAUAUCGGGAGGAACACCAGUGGCGAAGGCGACUUCCUGGCCUGUUCUUGACGCUGAGGCGCGAAAGCUAGGGUAGCAAACGGG
rnacentral:rRNA from 1 species